CAAGCGUUUUCGCAAGUUGAAAUAAUUAAUUUUUUUUUCUUAAUUUUUUUGUCUCAUCAAUUAAAUACAAUAGUCAACAGGAUUUUUAUUUAUUAAUUAAUGACAAUUAUUUAAAUAGAUUAUCAGUGGAUUUCAACGAUGAAAACUCUCUUUCUGAUGUCUUGACUGGAAGGAAGGAAGGAAGCAAACAACACUGACCUACCUCGACGGACUGCUAGCUGUCAUCCUACCAGCUGAUCAUCUGGCAUCGUUCGGCAGGGAAAUAAAGUUAUUUCCCUGUUGAGAGUCCAAUGGAAUCUAUUGACAUGACUGGCCUACCAGGACCAGAAUAAUUUUGAGGACAGUGAUGUUGCUGAACAUCAAGGACAAGGUGAUGCAGAUCCAAGGACACACCGCCGCUUUAAUUUUUUUUUUCUGUUUCAGAUCCAGUCAAGAAGAAUAAGGAUAUCCAUGGCUGCCAAGGAAUACCGUGACCAGGAGAAGGAGGACCAGGACCAAGAAGAAGACCAAUUAUUUAUUUAAUUAAUUUAAUUAUUUAUUUUUAUUAUUUAUUAUUUAUUUGUAUUUUUUAUAUUUAUUUAUUUAAUUUUAGCCAAAUUGUAAUUAGUUUUAAAUACUUAUUUUGUUAAGGUGUGAGUGUGAUGGAUGCUGUAAGAGUGAUUUAUAAUUUAUUAAUUUAUAUUUUUAUUUUGUAAGAAUGUGUACGAGUGGCAUGUUUUUAUUGCAUGGCUUGUGCUUGCUUGUUUUUUUUUUAUUUUUUUCGGGUUUGAUCGCAUGGUUUUAUUUGUUUAUAUUUAAUUUAAUUUUAUUCCUUAUUUUUCCCUUCCCUUUUAAUUUUAAGUGUGUUUUGUUUUUAUUCGGGUUUGAUCGCAUGGUUUGGUUUGCUUCUAUUUAAUUUAAUUUUUCCUUUUUUUAUUCCCAUUCCCGCUUAAUUUUAAGUCUGUUUUAUUAUUAUUAAAUUUAAAUUUAAGAGUGUGAUCAGUGUGUGUGAUUUUCUUCAUUGCGAUAU